ACUAGGGAUGAUGUCCCAGACCAGGCGCCUCGGCCUCGACCCGAGCGCCAGCCCCGCCUCUCCCCAGGUUCUGGCCGCUCCCGCCUGGGGUGGGAAGCAGGGUCUGUUCUGCAAAAGACAAAGACCACCUUCUGCAUCUAGCUCUCCCUCAAGGUGCGGCCACUGGGGAUCCCGCGGGGACAAAACCAGCCGUGGCGCCGGGGAGACUCAGUAACGUAACGCAAAAAGGACCCACAGGCUGGUGCACCUCUCUGCAUCUUCGAGUUGGGCCCUGUGUUCAUCACCUGAAGGACUUGGGACUCCUGUGUGUUCAGCCCCAGGCUCAGGAGGAGCCAGUGUUUGCACCAUUUCCUCUUUGAAGCUCAACUGCAGCAGAGGCGAGGCUGCGGCAGGGGAAGCCCUUGCCAUUCCUCCUUUCCAUUUUCUCACACAGCCCCUAAGAGACACAUGUACCUACUAAGACAAAGUGUAUUUCUCAAGUUCAUGUGCUUUGGAAGUUCACAAUUUGGGGGGAAUGCCAAAGUGGGGGGUAUACACUGGGUUUUCCCUCCUGAUGGUUUUCAGCCCUGCACCUUGGGUCUGGGAGAGAGGCCCAGUAAUUACUAUGGGUCUCCCUUCCGCAAAAGGUGGGAGAGUGGGGCAGAUCCUCAACACUUGCCCCUACGGCUAUGACACAUAUCUCGAGUGGACAACCUCACCCUGGCUAGAUUCUGUCCGCUGUGUCUGUAUUUCUAGCCAGCGAUAGUAGCAUGGAAGAUCAUUCCUCUCCCCAGACCCCUCCAUCUAGAUGGACAUUAGGUUAAAUGAUGGAUGAGGUGAGAAAAUGGCAGAUGCUUUACUGCACGCACAGCAGGGUUAAAGACACAAUCUAGACAGGUCAACACUACUAAAAAUUCAAACAUAGGAAGACUUCUGCUUCCAGCCAUGAUGAAGUAACAGGACUGGAUUUACCCUCCUCCCUUAAACUAAAAAACUGGACAAAACAGAUGAAACAAGAGUUGUCACCCUGGACCACAGGCGGUGCAGGACAGGGAGCCCUGAGAGCAGGGAAGCAGGUGAGGUGAGCCUUCUGCCUGCAGCUUCCAGACCACAGCGUAGGUAGGGAACCAGAGGGCAGGGUCUCCCAGGGUCGAGGAGACAGAGCUGGGAGCCCAGAGCAGCCACAGCAGCCGGAGUUGGCAGGGCUGCAGAGAACUGGAGGAGGAGCUGCACAGAGAAGAGCUGCAGAGCGUCCCCGUGAGUCGCAGCACACUCACCAGGACACCAGCGGGGGCGGGGAGAAGAGCCACCAGAAAGGAGCAGGCUGGAGCAACCCCUAAGAGUUCACACAGGGCCAGGAAUAGCUCCAGUUCCCACCACCUGUAGUGGAGAAACUUUGAGCUAAGCUGAUGUCAGAGAGAUCAGUAGAAGGGUGCUGCCUCUGGAGUUGGGAAAAGUUAUGAAGGCUGCCCAACAAAGCGGAAAAGCGACAACUGACAAGAUCAAAUGAUUUCCAAGUAACUACUACAUCUCAGGACAAAAGACAACUAACACAACUUCAAGUGGCCUAAUAUAUGUGUAAUUGGAGUCCUGGCACACAGAAACAUGUGAACGACUGUGUAAAAACUGUUCUAUAACCUAUAAAGAAUAUUAUUAAACUCCAAGCAUAGGAAUCAUGAAGAAAAAAAGACCAAGACACCUCAUAAUCAAAUUGCUCAAAACCAGUAAGAAAGAGGAAAUCUUAAAGGCUGCCAGAGAAAAAGAUACAUUAUGUAGAGAGGAACAAAGAUAAAGGUGACAGGAGUGUUCUCAUGGAAACAACGCAAACCAGACAACGAUGGAGCAACAUCUUUAAGCACGGAAAGAAAAAACCAAUCACAUGUUCGGUAGACACUUUUUCAAUAAUUUGCUGAUUCACAGGGGAAGAUCUUGCUGGUGUCCUCACCACCAGGCUGGCAAUUUAGAGGUUAAACUUGAGGCAUGAUGGCUGAUGAAUUAGAGGUUCCCAAGAUACCAUGUCUAUAAGCAGUAGCAACUCGGGUCUGCAGUUUGUUUGCAUAGGACAAUUGUGGGAUAAACACUGAACAGAAGCAGCAGUCCCUCAGGGGCACUCAGCUUCACGAGCUUCAGCUCAGUCCCCACGGGGCACUGCCAUCCCAGCCCAAACACUCGGUACCUGGCAGUGGCUGAGGACAACAACAACCGGCUGCACAUCUUCCUAGUUCCCAAAAUGCCCUCUCCAAAGUCAAACAAAGACAAGAAGCAGAAAGUAAAUUCUACAUAAAACUAUGCCGUCAGCAUCACUUGGAGAAUUUUAUGACUGCAAAUUAAGGGAGUCAAAGAGGAAAAUCACCGGAGUCCAGCACGUGAUCUCUUCCCUUCACCCCACCCGCAGCCAGCCCAUCUGAGCGGUGAGCAAAGGAGGACUGGGAGAGACGGUGGGGCUGAAGACGGGGGCUGCGAGGCGGCCUAAGGGUGAGGUGGCACAGUACCAGAAGGGUUAAACCUUAACAUCCUAGAUAUGGAAAUAAUUCUAAACCCUCCCAAUGCUAUGAAAAUUAAUGACAGUCGAGUCUAUCCAGAGCUAGUGCACAACACCAGAUGAGAUGAGAUGUCACACGUAUGAACUGAAGACCCUCCCUGCUCUGUGAGACUCUGGCACAAGUGUCUAACACAACCACAUGGAGGGGAUCGAGGAUAAAAGGCGUAACCUGCGUAAGUUUAGAAACUAAUAUUCCGACUGCACACUCUAAGGCUGAAGACGAGAAGAACCGGCCACCACUGCUGUCCUCUGGUUAGUAAAUCCGUCUCUCUCCGGGGUAUGGGUUACAAUGCUGUGAUGACCCUACGUGCACACGAGGAUACAACAAACACAUGGAGGUGUGUCUGAAGGCAGGGAUUAACAGACACAUAUUUCCCAGCUCUGUCUGCUCCAGCUCCAACAACAAUGAGCAUAUCUGCUGACCAGACCUUGGUUUCCAAAUAGUACUUUCCAAUAAAAGGAAUCAGAGCUUGUUGGAGAAGUGCUUGAUUCCAGGGCUGGGCAGGGAAUCUACGAGAUGAGGCUAAAAUAUCCUGUGGUGCCAGAAAAUAAGUACUUGAAAAAGGAUGGCAAUUUUCAAAGAUACAGAACCCAACCUGCACAAGCUCCUAAUGGCUAACGCUGGAAUAAUGCAAGUGACAAAAUAAGCAAUGACAGUCUUGUUAUUAUAACUCACAGAACAAGAUAAACAUCAACGAGUCUAUGCUGAUAUAAAUAAUUGAAUACAUAAACCAGGGGGAAGAGACAGCUUUUCCUAACAGGAAACUUCUAAGUAGUCAUUGUAGAAGGAAUGAAGAGAUAUACAAAAUCAUCAUUAGAAAAACACCACAAGAAAAGCAGUUUCAGGCAAGAUUUCUGAUGGAUGCUAAAACCAGUGAGCAAAAGUUUUAAGACAAACAGAUACUGCAUACUUAUCCAAGAUCUCCCUCAAUUACAAGGGAAAAACAGUAAGUUUACAUUACAGUGGUGAAACCCGGCAGAGGUCACGGUAACCAAGCGAUGAAGGAGAACAUCGCCUGUAAGGCAUGUAUGUGCCCCCCACACAGUGUACUGAGGACAUAGUGUACUGAGGGCACAGUGUACCGAGGGCACAGUGCACCGAGGGCGCAGUGCACCGAGGGCGCAGUGUACCGAGGGCACAGUGUACUGAGGGCACAGUGUACUGAGGACCCAGCACUUCUGUGGCGCUCAUCCAAACCGCAUAUCGUCAACAUAAUCAGGAGAAAACAGCUGAUACACUGAAAUCAAAAGGUAUUCUACAGAACAGCUAAUCAGUACUCAUCAAAAAUGUCAAGGUCAUGAAAGACAAGAAAAUAGAAGCUGUCACAGACUGGAGAGGAUGAAGAAAACAGUAACUAAAUGCAGUGUGGGCACUGGACUGGAUCCUAGAACACAAGAAGAACGCUGGGGGAAACUGGUGAAAUCUGAGUAAGAUCUGUGAUUAGGAGGACUGCACCCAUGUUAAUUUCCUGGCUUUGAUAAUUUUACUAUGGUUACGUAAAUUGUUAACAUUAGGGGAAGCUGAAUGUAGAGCAUAUAUCAACUCUCUAUUUUUGCAACUUUUCUGCAAGUCUAAAAUUCUUGCUAAAUAAAAAACAGCUGUAUACCAAAUAAUCUGAACACUGCCGCCCGUGUGCCUAUUUCCCAGAAGUUCUUAGUGAACACUGUAACCACUCCUAAUUAUUCAGGAUAGUGUGUAUGUGCGUGUGUGUGUGUGUAUGUGUCUGUACCAGAGAAUCAGAGAGAGAGGGAGAGAGAAGGCAGAAGCCUCUUGAUCCGGCUAUACCUGAAGUCAUUUCUGCAGCUGUCAAUUAUGUAAGUUAAUGUUCCCUUUUUUGUGCUUUGGCUAGUUUGAGUUGUGCUUCUAUUGUUUGUAAUCAAGUGUCCCUAACAUACUAAUUUCUGGCCUACUUCAUCCUAAGGAAUAUUGAGGCAGUUAUAGACAUUCACAGAAGAGAAAAACAAAUCAAAACAGUAGAAUGAAAGUAGAACAGCAGGACACUCCAACAAGUCCGGGCGCAGUCACUGCACAGAGACGCAUCCCUGCACACUGCCUGACGACAGCGCUGGCAGCAGCUGCGAACCCUGACUGAACGCUCCCAGCUCCCAACAAGUCCUCAGAUACUCCAGGAUCAUUGACUGACUCCAGCUCAGCUGAUUUAGCAACCGUACUAGCUUCUGCAACCUUAAUUCCCUUUGCCACGUGACCCACUCACAGGUUUGGGGCAUGAGGACAGGACGGUUUGGAGGGCCAUUAUUCUGCCAAUCCCAAGAGCUAACACUCAUUAAACAUUUUACUACGUGCCAGGAAGACACUUGAUAAUAAAUAUAAUUAUCAAUAGUGAAAAAGCAGCAAAGUCAAUCCAUCCAAACACUGGUUGGAUAACCAUUUCUUUAAAAAGAAACUAACCUGUUGUGUUGAGCUUCUCAGUUAUGCGUUCUCUCCUUUGACUAGAACUAACAUGGGCACUGGCAGAGCCAAUGGGAAUUUUUAGUCUCACAUUUUUUGUGACAGUCUCAGAGUUUUCACAACAUUCUAGGUCUCUGGUUAUUGCCAAACAUAAUCACCUGUAUAUCAUAGUUGGUAUAGCUAAAGUGCUCCUUAGUGUCUCAAUAAUACUGUAUGAAAGAAAAAUAAUUUUGAGCAAUAAUCUAUUAUCUGAAACUUUGCUAGUUGAAGAUAUUUGGAAACUUGGAAUAAUUUGACUAGUACUUUAAGAUUCUACAAGAAUUUUAUAUAAUUAACUAAUGUCAAAUUAGAGACUUUAGGGACUAAGAUAAAUACUGAUUUUUCACUUGCAGUUCCAAAAGAUUCAUGAAUUACUCCAGCUUGUAUAUUUGCCUCGGGAAGCUUAAUGACAGCAAUGAAUUUACUGGUCAUGGCUGGAAGCCUUUUGAUCUACAAGAGUUGCCUGAUUUUUACCUUCAGUUUUUGGAGAGGACAUCUUUAUUUCAAAAUAGUUGAAAGUUAUCAUUUCAAAUGAUCCUUUCUAUAUUUUCCCCAAGGAAUGCAGUAAUUUCGUCUCUAUGUAUUCUAAAAGCGAAUUCUACUUCAUCAAAUCCUUUUAGAAACAAAGGACCAGAAGUAUGGUUCUUAUUGCUGCUAGCAUGUUGAAAAUAAUGUCUAGUCCAUGUUUUAACUUUAUUCAAUGCUAACUCUGACUGUAGCCUUUUAAUAUAAAUAACCAUAUGAUUUAGCAUAUAGGAAAAAAUCUCCCUAAUUCUAGGAUUCUACUAACUCAAUGUAUGGCCGAAACCAAUGAUUCUCAAGUUUCAUUUAAUAGAGUUCUUUUAAAUUAUUUUUUUACAUUCUGGAACCCAAUUCCUGGUAGACAUUUGGGAUGGAUCUGGUAAUAAUUGGAGACAAAUUAAUAUGUAAAAUAAAACCAAAAAGCCUAUAAAAGAGGAAAAUUCUGAAAUCCAGCAGUUU